UCUUUUGAAGAUAAAAUGAAUCAAGCAUGAUGCAAAUGAAGUUUUUCUUAAUUUUGAGGCAAUGAAUGAUUGCCGCGUUUAUAUGAAAACGUUCGCUAAAUUCCAGAUUGAUCACGAGUCUCUUAUUCGAGGAAAGCUUUUUCAAUAAAAAAAAAUUUGGAAAUCGCGCAGGCUGCCCAAUUCGACACAGUGGUACUAAUACUCAUUAUACGACAAAAAUUGGCUCAUUCGGUUACACAGCUUUGAUAUCCUUAUAGAGGGUGUCGCUGAGUUGAUGGCAAGAUACCGCCGCCCUGUUUUCUCCAAAACUAAUAGAGAAAAACAAACUCUUUAUAAUUGUGAAAAAUAGCAAUAAAAAAAUAGCAUAAGAUAUCCAUUA